UUUCAUUACCUUACAUUAGCC
rnacentral:piRNA from 1 species